rnacentral:rRNA from 1 species
GGGGGGGCAGCGCGGCUAAAUGCAGUCGAGCGACUCUUCGGAGUUAGCGGCGGACGGGUGAGUAACGCGUGGGGAUGUGCCCUUUGGUACGGAACAACAGUUGGAAACGACUGCUAAUACCGUAUGAGCCCUUCGGGGGAAAGAUUUAUCGCCAAAGGAUCAACCCGCGUUGGAUUAGGUAGUUGGUGGGGUAAUGGCCUACCAAGCCGACGAUCCAUAGCUGGUUUGAGAGGACGACCAGCCACACUGGGACUGAGACACGGCCCAGACUCCUACGGGAGGCAGCAGUGGGGAAUCAUAGACAAUGGGCGCAAGCCUGAUCUUGCCAUGCCGCGUGAGCGACGACGGCCUUAGGGUUGUAAAGCUCUUUCACCGGUGAAGAUAAUGACGGUAGCCGGAGAAGAAGCCCCGGCUAACUCCGUGCCAGCAGCCGCGGUAAUACGGAGGGGGCUAGCGUUGUUCGGAAUUACUGGGCGUAAAGCGCGCGUAGGCGGGCUGUUAAGUCAGAGGUGAAAUCCCGGGGCUCAACCCCGGAACUGCCUUUGAUACUGGCAGCCUAGAGGUCGAGAGAGGUGAGUGGAAUGUCUAGUGUAGAGGUGAAAUUCGUAGAUAUUCGACGGAACACCAGUGGCGAAGGCGGCUCACUGGCUCGAUUCUGACGCUGAGGUGCGAAAGUGUGGGGAGCAAACAGGAUUAGAUACCCUGGUAGUCCACACCGUAAACGAUGAAUGCCAGACGUCGGGGGGCAUGCGUCUCGGUGUCGCAGCUAACGCAUUAAGCAUUCCGCCUGGGGAGUACGGCCGCAAGGUUAAAACUCAAAGGAAUUGACGGGCGCCCGCACAAGCGGUGGAGC